CUACGGGGGGCUGCAGUGAGGAAUAUUGCACAAUGGGGGGAACCCUGAUGCAGCAACGCCGCGUGGAGGAUGACGCAUUUCGGUGUGUAAACUCCUUUUAUAUGUCAAGAAAAUGACGGUAGCAUAUGAAUAAGCACCGGCUAACUCCGUGCCAGCAGCCGCGGUAAUACGGAGGGUGCAAGCGUUACUCGGAAUCACUGGACGUAAAGGACGCGUAGGCGGGUUGGAAAGUCAGGUGUGAAAUCCUACAGCUUAACUGUAGAACUGCACUUGAAACUUCUAAGCUAGAGUAUGGGAGGGGGAGAUGGAAUUAGUGGUGUAGGGGUAAUAUCCGUAGAUAUCACUAGGAAUACCUAAAGCGAAGGCGAUCUCCUGGAACAUUACUGACGCUAAGGCGUGAAAGCGUGGGGAGCAAACAGGAUUAGAUACCCGUGUAGUC
rnacentral:rRNA from 1 species